UGGCGUUCUUCGGCUUCUUUAUCGAUAUUAUCAGAUGAUCCUGAAUCCAAUGCCGUUUGAGCAUUAUUAUUGUUAUUAUUAUUAUUGUUUUCUGUUUCCUUCUUCUCUGCGAUCUCCAUUUUUUAGCUUUUUUAACUGAAACCCCAAAUCCCAAAAGCGCUUUCUCUCUGUGUUAUGGUUUAUCUGAAGUUGUUCAGUGGAGACGAUGGAAG
rnacentral:misc_RNA from 1 species